ACCCCAAAGAGCAGCAGAAGGAAGAGCAGGACGAAUACAAUGAACAAAAGAACUGAAGAGCUCUCCAGCAUCUGGAAUGAAAGAGGAAAAACAGCCUAGGUUUAAGGUGGCACAGGAGAGAGCUAUUUUUUGUGGCAUCUGAACAUAAAGCUCACCAGAUGGGAUGCAUGUCACCCUGUAUGGCUCAAGCAAUAAAUCCUGUCAAAGCUGUUUACUCUGAUGGAUUUCAAACAAGACCGUAUACAGGAAGGCACUCUUAUUUCCACACAAGAGUUACAGCAUAGAAGACCUGCUUGCUAAAAAUGGUGAACAGCUUCUACCUGUGAUUGUGUCAACGUUCCACCCACCUGAAGUUCAGCGGAACCAUUGCUGCAACAGGAACUACAAGAAGAUGCUCAAAAGUUUUGCCUAAAUUGCCAGAGACCAAAAGUGCAGGGGUCAUAUGAUUAG